rnacentral:rRNA from 1 species
GACGAACGCUGGCGGCGUGCUUAACACAUGCAAGUCGAACGGAAAGGCCCUGCUUUUGUGGGGUGCUCGAGUGGCGAACGGGUGAGUAACACGUGAGUAACCUGCCCUUGACUUUGGGAUAACUUCAGGAAACUGGGGCUAAUACCGGAUAGGAGCUCCUGCUUCAUGGUGGGGGUUGGAAAGUUUCGGCGGUUGGGGAUGGACUCGCGGCUUAUCAGCUUGUUGGUGGGGUAGUGGCUUACCAAGGCUUUGACGGGUAGCCGGCCUGAGAGGGUGACCGGCCAAAUUGGGACUGAGAUACGGCCCAGACUCCUACGGGAGGCAGAAGUGGGGAAUAUUGCACAAUGGGCGGAAGCCUGAUGCAGCAACGCCGCGUGCGGGAUGACGGCCUUCGGGUUGUAAACCGCUUUCGCCUGUGACGAAGCGUGAGUGACGGUAAUGGGUAAAGAAGCACCGGCUAACUACGUG